UGCAUCAUGGUCAUGAUCCUCGAUUACUGGGAUCUCCACGGGCUGGCUCAUACCAUCCGCCUGCUCCUGGAAUACACAGACUCGAAGUAUGAAGAAAAAAGUACACAAUGGGGGACGCUCCUGACUAUGACAGAAGUCAGUGGCUGAAUGAAAAAUUCAAGCUGGGCCUGGACUUUCCCAAUCUGCCCUACUUAGUGGACGGUCCUCACAAGAUCACUCAGAGCAACGCCAUCCUGCGCUACAUCGCCCGCAAGCACAACCUGUGUGGGGAGACAGAAGAGGAGAAGAUUCGAGUGGACAUCUUGGAAAAUCAAGCCAUGGACUCUCGCAUGAGUCUGAUCCAGUUGUGCUACAACCCCGACUUUAUGAGUGAGAAGCUGAAGCUUCAGUACCUGAAGGAGCUGCCUGGUAAGAUAAAGCUCUACUCUGGGGAAGUGUCUGGGGAAGCAGCCAUGGUUUGCAGGGAACAAGACCACUUUUGCAGACUUCCUUGUUUAUGACUUCCUUGAUGUGAGCCACAACUUUGAGCCUAAGUGCUUAGAGGCCUUCCCAAACCUGAAGGACUUCAUUGCCCGCUUUGAGGGCCUGAAGAAGAUUUCUACCUUCAUGAAGUGCAGCGAGUACCUCGACCUCUCUUUGGAAAGGAGGCCACUUGGGGCAAUAGAUGA